rnacentral:rRNA from 1 species
GACGAACGCUGGCGGCUUGCUUAACACAUGCAAGUCGAACGGAAAGGCUCUGCUUUUGUGGGGUGCUCGAGUGGCGAACGGGUGAGUAACACGUGAGUAACCUGCCCUUGACUUUGGGAUAACUUCAGGAAACUGGGGCUAAUACCGGAUAGGAGCUCCUGCUGCAUGGUGGGGGUUGGAAAGUUUCUGCGGUUGGGGAUGGACUCGCGGCUUAUCAGCUUGUUGGUGGGGUAGUGGCUUACCAAGGCUUUGACGGGUAGCCGGCCUGAGAGGGUGACCGGCCACAUAGGGACUGAGAUACGGCCCAGAAUCCUACGGGAGGAAGCAGUGGGGAAGAUUGCACAAUGGGCGGAAGCCUGAUGCAGCAACGCGGCGUGAGGGAUGAAGGCCUUCGGGUUGUAAACCGCUUUCGCCUGUGACGAAGCGUGAGUGACGGUAAUGGGUAAAGAAGCACCAGCUAAAUAAGUG